rnacentral:rRNA from 1 species
UACGUAGGGUGCAAGCGUUGUCCGGAAUUAUUGGGCGUAAAGAGCUCGUAGGCGGUCUGUCGCGUCGGCUGUGAAAUCCCGAGGCUCAACCUCGGGUCUGCAGUCGAUACGGGCAAACUAGAGUAUUGCAGGGGAGACUGGAAUUCCUGGUGUAGCGGUGAAAUGCGCAGAUAUCAGGAGGAACACCGGUGGCGAAGGCGGGUCUCUGGGCAAUUCCUGACGCUGAGGCGCGAAAGCGUGGGGAGCAAACGGG